AUAGCCGGCUUUCUCAUUUUUAACCUAAAAAUUAGAAUAGAUGUUUUUGUUCUGCAAAGUGCUCUGAGAAACAGGAAGAUGACAAUUUUAGUGCACGCAAAGUAACAUUAAAUGACAAAUGAUUGACUAUGUAAUUAUUUUAUCCAAUUGCGAAUGUCGAUAUAGCGUAAAAGUGCGGUCCUUCUAAAAUAAAAAGUAUCUGGAGUUAAAGCUACUGUGGAUAUAUCGUAUAGUAGAGGUGGUGGUUAAAGACUCCUCCUGCUAAUAAAAGCCGCUCACUAGGCGCCUUCACAUACAAACAGUCACAGACAGCCAGAGCACGUGAGCUUCAUUACACUAACUGUUAAUUAAUUAACUAUUUAUUUAUUUAUAAAAUUAACCAAAAAUUAUUAACAGAAUAUUCGGCAAUUUCUAAAUUAUAAUUCAUAAAAAUUAUUUUAAAUUGGCUAAUUUAUCUCGAAAUUUAAAUACCAGUGAGUGAAUAUCAGUGAGUGGCCAUGAGGCUGUUAAUGCUAAUUCCGUGUCUAAUUGUUGCGGUUAAUUGCCACCCUUUGGCGCAGGAUGAGUACAACUCCCAGGCAUCUGGUUUGGCGCUGAUCGAGGAGAACAAUGAUGCUGCGUUGAGGAGUAAGAGAACUGUUGGUGUUCUGAGACAGUUUUUCCCCGAAAUUACUGAGAUGAUUGAUAAUAUAGUCAACAAGAUAGUCUCCGAGGUGAUAAAAGUAGUGGGUCCAACCGUAAUACAGGACGUACUUGGCGGAAACCGAAGACAAAAUAACGGAAAUUCAAAAACAGAAAGCGAAGGCAGUGAAGUAACAAUAGAAGUGCCAGCCGAUUUCUUCGGAGACUCCGAAAGCGAUUCUGACGUAGCGGACAUUAAUAACAAGGAUAAUUUUGGUAAAGUUAAUAUCCCGUUGCCGACCUUCGAGACCACCCAAGUUACCGGCAAGGGAAUCGGUAACGUGGAGGAAGGACUUACCACUGAAGAACCGACGGGUACUCCAUCAGGAUAUGGAUAUAGCCGAGUCAGAGAACAAGGAAGUAAGAGUAGCGUUCGACGAUUCAGAUCUCGCGACAAACGAAGCUGGAGCGGAUCUCACCUCUCUGGACGAUAUCGAAAUCGGAGACGACGAGAAUCGAAACAAAAGAUUUAGUGGCGGAAAUGGAGAGUCUGGAGGCAGUAGCGGGGGAUCUGGAAAUUUUAUUUUUGAUAUUAUUAGAUUGAUCGCAGGCAGUGGGUCAUCAUCACCACCAAGUGAAGAUCAUACCCAUGGAAAACACGAACCCGAUGAAGCAGUUCCCGGACCAGCGACACGAUUUUUAGUGAUCGCAAACCGAGGGAUUGCAAAUCUGAUCCAAGAUCUUAUUCUUCGCAUUGCGGCUACGAGCGAGCGAUUCGUCAACUUCAAAGCGCGACUGAUUACUUCGAUUAUCUGAGGAAGUCUAGGAGCUGUUGUUAGACAGCUAAACCGGAUUAAAAAUAGAUAAUAUUUUUUUACUGAUGGAUCCACUGUCAGAUCGCAGGUACGACGUUGACUGCUCCUCCUCGUCCCUUGUUCCUGGGAUCUCCUGCUGUCUUAGUCCAUCGCUUAUGAAUAAAUACAAUUGAUUAGCUUAAUAAAUGAUGAUUAAAUGCCUGCCAUUUUUUAUACG